CAAACAUUUAAUGUUUAAACAUUCAUUAUUUGUUUGAAGCAAAUUCAAACCCUACUGAUCUAAUUUAGUGUUUAUUAUGUUUAUAUCAAUGCUUUGUCUUGUAAUGUACAGCUUUGGGUAUACCAUUAUCAACAAACACAAGAUAUAUGACUAUAGAUCAACAGUUGGAAUGUUAUAACUGCGGUUCAGUUGGGUGGAAUGUGGAAUCUUGUAACAAAACUUUAAUAUGUCCGCCAAAUAACGCAUGUUUCCUAUCAUUCAGUACUACAGGUAUGAGUGGAAAUUAUAAUCUCAGUAGCAUAGAUAACAAGGCGAGUACUACAGGUAUAUGUGGAAAUUAUACCGUCACAGGUG